CUGGCGUCAGGACGAACGCUGGCGGCGUGCCUAAUACAUGCAAGUCGAACGGUCUUUCUAUGGAAGCUUGCUUCCACUGAGAAGAUAGUGGCGAACGGGUGAGGUAACACGUGGGUAACCUGCCCAUAAGAGGGGGAUAACAUCCGGAAACGGGUGCUAAUACCGCAUAGUUUUCUUGAUCGCAUGAUCGGGAAAGGAAAGACGGCCUUUGUGCUGUCGCUUAUGGAUGGACCCGCGGCGUAUUAGUUAGUUGGUGAGGUAACGGCUCACCAAGACGAUGAUACGUAGCCGACCUGAGAGGGUGAUCGGCCACAUUGGGACUGAGACACGGCCCAAACUCCUACGGGAGGCAGCAGUAGGGAAUCUUCCGCAAUGGACGAAAGUCUGACGGAGCAACGCCGCGUGAGUGAAGAAAGGUUUUCGGAUCGUAAAACUCUGUUGUCAGAGAAGAACAAGUUGGAGAGUAACUGCUCCAGCCUUGACGGUAUCUGACCAGAAAGCCACGGCUAACUACGUGCCAGCCGCCGC
rnacentral:rRNA from 1 species